AAGGUUUCCGUAGGUGAACCUGCGGAAGGAUCAUUAGUGAAUAAACCGUGUGGGUUGUUGCUGACCUCCUCGGAGGUAUGUGCACGCUCAUCAAUGUUUCAUUCAUCCUCUCACCUGUGCACACACUGUAGGCCAGACCAUCGCUUUUCAGGGGCUCUCUCUGGUGUGAGGAAUGUGCUCCAAUGCUGGGGCUUUCCUUGGAUAGUCUGGUCUAUGUCUUUACUCACACCAUGUAUGUCAUUGAAUGUAUGUUCUGAGCUCCGGCUCAUAAAACAAUAUACAACUUUCAACAACGGAUCUCUUGGCUCUCGCAUCGAUGAAGAACGCAGCGAAAUGCGAUAAGUAAUGUGAAUUGCAGAAUUCAGUGAAUCAUCGAAUCUUUGAACGCACCUUGCGCUCCUUGGUAUUCCGAGGAGCAUGCCUGUUUGAGUGUCAUUAAAUCCUCAACCUUACCUCUCUUGUUGGAGAGCUGUGAGGCUUGGAUGUGGGAGCUGCUGGCUGUCACGGUCAGCUCUUCUGAAAUGCAUUAGCAGAGCCCUGCAUGCGCAUCUGUCACCUGGUAUGAUAGUCAUCUAUGCCAUGUGCGUUGUGCAUGAUCUGCUUCGAACCGUCUUGUCUCAAGACAACACUCUGACGAUUUGACC
rnacentral:rRNA from 1 species